rnacentral:rRNA from 1 species
CAUGUAGGCGGUCUUGUAAGCUUGGCGUGAAAGACCACGGCUCAACCGUGGGAUUGCGUUGAGAACUGCGAGGCUUGAGUGACGGAGAGGGAGCUAGAAUUCCUGGUGUAGGGGUGGAAUCUGUAGAGAUCAGGAAGAAUACCAAUGGCGAAGGCAAGCUCCUGGCCGAUGACUGACGCUGAGGUGCGAAAGUGUGGGGAUCAAACAG